UUUAAUGAGAGUUUGAUCCUGGCUCAGGACGAACGCUGGCGGCGUGCCUAAUACAUGCAAGUAGAACGCUGAUGUUUGGUGUUUACACUAGACUGAUGAGUUGCGAACGGGUGAGUAACGCGUAGGUAACCUGCCUCAUAGCGGGGGAUAACUAUUGGAAACGAUAGCUAAUACCGCAUAAGAGUGAUUAACACAUGUUAGUUAUUUAAAAGGAGCAA
rnacentral:rRNA from 1 species